GCCCCGGUCGUCUAGCCCGGUUAGGACGCCACCCUUUCAAGGUGGAGAUCACCAGUUCGAUUCUGGUCCGGGGUACCA
rnacentral:tRNA from 1 species